UACGGAAGGCAGCAGUGGGGAAUAUUGCACAAUGGGCGAAAGCCUGAUGCAGCUAUGCCGCGUGUAUGAAGAAGGCCUUAGGGUUGUAAAGUACUUUCAUCGGGGAGGAAAAACAAAACUAAUAAUUUUAUUUCUUGAUGUUAACCGAAAAGAAGCACCGGCUAACUCCGUGCCAGCAGCCGCGGUAAUACGGAGGGUGCUAGCGUUAAUCAGAAUUACUGGGCGUAAAGAGCACGUAGGUGGUUUUUUAAGUUCAGAUGUGAAAUCCCUGGGCUUAACCUAGGAACUGCAUUUUGAAACUGAAAUACUAGAGUAUCGUAGAGGGAGGUAGAAUUCUAGGUGUAGCGGUGAAAUGCGUAGAUAUCUGGAGGAAUACCUGUGGCGAAAGCGGCCUCCUAAACGAAUACUGACACUGAGGUGCGAAAGCGUGGGGAGCAAACAGGGAUUAGAUACC
rnacentral:rRNA from 1 species